GGGCUGUAGGGUUCCCAGAAGGAAGAAGCACCCAGACUCCAAAACUCGUGUGUUACGCAAAGCCCCAGGUACAGGAUUCCGGAGAAGGCUGUGGAUGCAUUAAAAUGGAGGGCGCUCUCCAAGUGCUGAAGCCAAGGACGGGCUGAGAAACCCCUUUUCUGCAGCCUGGGCUGGGAAGAAGGAGGAGACCAGAGAGGGGUAGAGCUGUCCUGAUGAGGGAGAAGCAGCUGGCUACUUUUUACCGGAUCAUCAAGAGAAAGGAUGAAUAAGCAAGUACCUAAUAAGACCUCAG